CCAACCCUAAUUUCGCCGAACUUUGCCUCCUCUAUUUUAUCUCCUCUCCUAGCCUCCUAGGGUUCUCCAAUCGCCGCUUUUUUAUAGAAGCAGAAGCAGAUGACGAGAAGCAAGACAGGGACAUCAGCAUUCCUCUCAUUUGGAGGAUGAUGACUAAGUCUACAUGGGAAUCUCUCUGAUGCUCAUCUCUUUUUUUUUGUUUGAUCAUUUAUUUUUGUUUUCUAAACUUUUAAUUUGUUCGAGCAUUGCUUGUUUUCUCUUUAUGUUGGUAUCACCUUGCCAAUGAUGCAUAAUAUGCACGUAUUAUCGGAUUUAUAAUGACGAUUUCGUAUGUUGUCACUACCACUGAGGCAAAUCAUUUAAUCAUCUGUUCUUAGUAGUUGAUCAUUUAUGCUUCUUAUAAAAAGAAAUUUUGAGUAAGUAGACAUUUGUUAUUUCAAUCUUUUUUGGGGUUCAGUUCUAAUUUUGAUUGAUCAUGUUUGGUUAUAAUAAUAAUAAUAAUAAUAAAGUUGCGUUUGGUUGUUGUUGAUCCAAUAAGUGCGACUGCCGAGGAUGGUGUUAAAUAUACUUUGAGUAUUCACUAUGAAAAGUAACAAAAUCUGAGGCAUUUGCUAAGUUCUUGUAAUUUUUUUGUAUUUUCUUUUUUAUUGACUUGCUUAAUAUUUAAUUGGUUAUAUUAUUGCUUUAUUACAUACAAUUUACCACCAGUUUUCCAAAUUAAUUAAGAACUAAUCUGCCGAUGAUGCAUAAUAUGCACGUAUUAUCUGAUCUAGCUGAUGAUACAAAAUUAUUAUGAUCACUGAGGCAUAAUAUACCAAAGAACAUGUUAAUGAUUUGUUCACUUAUUGCUCUUACUUGCUCAUCCUUCUACUUUUCUUUUUAAUUCUAGUGCUAUGGAUGCCAAAACAUGUAAUUUUCUACUGCAGAUGUGUCAGCAUGUUAUGAACUGUAUAUUUGUGCUCUGCAUCAUUUUGUUUAUUAUCAAAAAUGGACUCAAUUGUGCUGGCCUAAUGAUUUAUUUUGUAUAAGAACGGAGAUCUGAAAACUUUGUUGAAGCCUAACAAGUUUGGGCUCCAAAGAAAACUAUGUAGAUACUCAACAAAAUGAAGGCUGGCACAUUAAUAUCUAACAUUGUUAUAUAUUUGCUUAUUAGUUACUUGUGAGUUAGACUUUUCUAGUGGCUUUACGUAAUAAUUUGUACAUCUUUUGUGGUUGUGUAAGUUGUUUUGCUGUUCAGACAUCCUGGAAUUUGCUAAGAUACCAAUGGAUCUGGAUUGAUGGAACUCCCACCCUAAUCAGCCCAAAAGCAGGGGUGAAAAAAAAAAAGAAAAAAUAUAACUUGCUUCAAAUCUGCCUUGAUCUGCUCAUUCUAAUGGAGUCCGGAGGUGGGAGACCCCUUCCUCCUUCGAGCUUCUCCAACCCGUUAAAAAUUCGUCAAAAAUCUACUUUUGCUCACCUGCCUCGAAUGGAGCAGAUAAUGGGCUGGAAAAUAGGAUAAAAAUCAGUUUGCUUUGAAUCCGCCCCGAUAUCCCAAGGAAACGGGGCGGAAGGUAGGGGACCCUUCAUGUCACCGGAUCUGCUCCCUUUGCGUUUCUAUAAUUCUCUGCAGAAUUUUUAAGUUUUGUCACAUUACAAGCUCCGUGCUUGGGUCUUAAGUCUGAUUGAUACAAUUUAUCGCAAAAUGUUCUUAUCUGCAGUGGGCACUCUUGAGUAAUUUGAUAUUCAGCUUUGUGUCGACACUUAGCCUUUUUUAGAGUUGUAUAUGAGCCAGAUUGAUGUUGUUCUUCAUAUGACAGCAAUUGCGAUUCUGCCUUUCUUUCCUGUGGCUGGGGGAAGUUACAAUCUAGUGGGUUAGAAUUUUAUUACUGUAUCUGCUGGUUAUAAUCAACUGGGUUAGAAUUUUAUUACUGUAUCAGCUGACGUUUACUAUCCACCUUCAUUCUGAUUAUUAAAUUCUCUGAUAUUUGUAAAUUGCCGGUUGACACUUGUUGUUACCUAUUAUUGUGUUUAUCCAGCAAAUUGUUUGUUUAGGCCGUCGAAAA